AUGCUCUCGUCAUCUCGAGCCAGCCACUUGGAUGGCGUGGUGACGAGGAUCAGUGGCUCUGUUGGCGCAUUGGCUGGGUCAGCCCCCUCCGGGGGUGAUGCAUGUCCUGCGGCCGUGCCCGCGACGGGAAGGCCAGAGAGUUGCGAUUUGUGCCAGAACGGGUGCCGCCGCUGUGGCUGUGCCCUUCAGCCAGGCGGAGAGGGCAAGGUGGUGCCGGACGAGUAUGACGAGCGCUCCUCUUGCCUCUACGACACCGACGCCUCCAUCGUCUACGGCGUCUACGCCUUCUUCGUGCUCCUCCUCGCGCAGCUGCUGGUCUCCGGCGUCACCCGCUGCCUUUGCUUCGCCGUCUUCACCGUCUCCUGGUGA
rnacentral:rRNA from 1 species